CAGCAGCCGCCGCGGUAAUACGAAGGGGGCUAGCGUUGUUCGGAUUUACUGGGCGUAAAGCGCACGUAGGCGGAUCGAUCAGUCAGGGGUGAAAUCCCAGAGCUCAACUCUGGAACUGCCUUUGAUACUGUCGAUCUGGAGUAUGGAAGAGGUGAGUGGAAUUCCGAGUGUAGAGGUGAAAUUCGUAGAUAUUCGGAGGAACACCAGUGGCGAAGGCGGCUCACUGGUCCAUUACUGACGCUGAGGUGCGAAAGCGUGGGGAGCAAACAGGAUUAGAUACCCCAGUAGUCCCUGUCUCUUAUAC
rnacentral:rRNA from 1 species